rnacentral:rRNA from 1 species
CCCUUAGAUGUUCUGGGCUGCACGCGUGCAACACUGAUAUUGCCAAUAUGUCAUUCUUAUCCGAAAUGGAUUGGGUAAUCAAGUAAUGAAACUUCAUGCUUGGAAUCGGUAAUUGCAAUUUUAUCGUGAACGAGGAAUUCCUAGUAAGCACUAGUCAUCAGCUAAUGUUGAUUAUGUCCCUGCCCUUUGUACACACCGCCCGUCGCUACUACUGAUUGGGUGUUCAAGUGAGAUGCUUAGACCCUUGUUGCAUGGUUCAUUAUUGUGCUCCGAAAGGAAAAAGUUUCAAGCUUGAGUGUCUAGAGGAAGUAAAAGUCGUAACA